CCUACGGGUGGCAGCAGUGGGGAAUAUUGCACAAUGGGCGCAACCCUGAUGCAGCAACGCCGCGUGAGUGAUGACGGCCUUCGGGUUGUAAAGCCCUGUCUUCAGGGACGAUAAUGACGGUACCUGAGGAGGAAGCCACGGCUAACUACGUGCCAGCAGCCGCGGUACUACGUAGGUGGCGGGGGUUGUCCGGAUUUAGUGGGCGUAAAGGGGGGGUAGGCGGAAUUUUAAGUGCGCUGUGAAAUACUCGGGCUCAACUUGAGUUCUGCAUUUGAAACUGGAAGUCUAGAGUGCAGGAGAGGAGAAUGGAAUUCGUGGUGUAGCGGUGAAAUGCGUAGAGAUCAGGAAGAACUCCAGUGGCGAAGGCGAUUCACUGGCCUGUAACUGACGCUGAGGCUCGAAAGCGUGGGGAGCGAACAGGAUUAGAUACCCUUGUAGUC
rnacentral:rRNA from 1 species